rnacentral:rRNA from 1 species
GCUCCAAUAGCGUAUAUUAAAGUUGUUGCAGUUAAAAAGCUCGUAGUUGGAUCUGCGGUUAGGGCUUGCGGUCCACCACGCGGUGGUACUGCUCGUCCGACCUACAUCGAAUUGACCGCGUUGCUCUUCACUGAGUGACCGGGAAGGCUCGAACGUUUACUUUGAAAAAAUUAGAGUGUUCAUAGCAGGCAGUCCGCCUG